ensembl:lncRNA
AGACAAUGACCCCAAGCAUUCAAGUCUUUCUAGCAAAAAUGGUUAAAGAAGAAUGAAGUUAAUGUUUUGGAAUGGCCAAGUCGAAGUCCUUACCUUGGAAUUCUGAUGAUCAGAGAGUAUGCAGAAGUGCAGCUCAGUAGCAGCAGGUUGAUAUUACACAGCUGGUCAAAUAUCUAACAUAUUAAAUUAUCUAGUCACCAAGCAAAUGUCUGGGCUGUUCAACAUUGUUUUUUCAAUUUGGACAUUUAAAAGUGCAUUGAUGCUGCAACCUGAUAAAAGGGCAUACAUACUGGCUGUCAUUUAUUAACCUUUUAGUAAAAUUGUGUUUAAAUGUUUCUGUAAACCAAACCAAACUAAAACAAAAAUUUUAUAAAUGCUUAAGGUGCAUAAGGACCAUCUCAUCAUCCAUUUAUAUGGCAGCAUUUCUUUUGUCACAGUUGAAUGAUUAGUUUUAUUUGUCUUCAUUUAUGGAUUUGUGUUGGCUGGCUUUCUUGUUUUUUAUAUUCUUUAAGUAAUGCCAAUACUAUAAAUGACUGGUUAUGACAAAAUUUUCUUGAUGGUAUACUUAGUCCGUGACCUAGUGAACUAGCAUAAGGAUGUGUGUACACCUGCACACCUGCAAAUAUCAUGCAGAUGUUCACAUCAAGCAUCAGGAUGGGGGGAAAAAGUGUGAUCUCUGUGACUUUAAAAGCAGCAUGGUUGUUGGUGCCAGAUCAGAGGAGAAUGACCAGACUGGUCUAAACUGACAGGAAGUCUAUAGUAACUUUAAUAAUCAUUAUUUACAACUGUGGUGAACAGAAAAGCAUCUCAGAAUACACAACACAUCAAACCUUGAGGUGAAACAGCAGAAGACCACAUCAGGUUCCACUCCUGUCAGCCAAGAACAAGGCUAUGAUGAACACAUGGACUAACUGAAACUGGACAGUUGUUUUAUGGGGGGGUUUUCUCUCUAAACUUAAACAGUCCAGUUUCGAUGAGCCUGUGCCCAUGAUAGCCUAACAUUCCUGUUCUUGGAAUGGAAAGGAGUGUAAAAAAGGAGUGAAAAUUCUGCUGUUGUAGCCCAUCUACCUCAAAGUUAACUGUUUUGUGCAUGCUGAGAUGUUAUUCUGUUCACCAUAGUUGUAAAGAGUGAUUAUAUGAGUUACUAUAUCCUUUAUGGCAGCUCAAACUAAUAUGACUAUUUUCCUCUGGCCUCUAUUAUCAACAAGGCAUUUCCCCCCACAGAACUGUAACUCACUCAAUGUUUUUUUGUUGUUGUUGUUUUUUGCAAGCAUUCUGUGUGUGAAAUUCCCAGGAGAUCAGCAGUUUCUGAAAUACUCAUACCAGCCCGUCUGGUACCAUGAUCAGAGUCACACUUUUUCUUCAUUCCAAUGCUUGAUAUGAACAUUUCCAGAAGCUCUUGACCUUUAUCUGCAUGAUUUUUUGCAUUGUGCUGCUGCCACAUGAUUGGCUGAUUAGAUAACUUCAUGAAUGUGCACAUAUACAGGUGUUCCUAAUAAAGUGGAUGAUAAGUGUAUAUGUAAUGUUGGAACGUCUAUUAGAGAAUAAGUGUUUUUUGAUCCUGGUUGUUCUGGCCCUAAUGCUGUGCAGCCUUCUACCUGAGGGAACAGUCAGUGAGCAGGGUGGAAUGAGUCUUUCAUGGUAUGGUGAGCCCUGUUCCUGCAUCUGCCUGUUUAAAUGUUCUCAACUAUUGGAAAACUGCAGCUGGUGAUCCUCUGUGCAGACUUAACUAUAUGCUGCAGAGCUACAUGCCACAGAGCAGUUUUUGUACCACACGGUGACACAUGAUAUAAGGAAAUUCCAUUACAUUCUGACAGCCAUUCAAUUCUAUUGCAAACUGAAUAGAUUAGACUUCUGUCUAUCCAUCCAUCUAUCUAUCUAUAUAUCUAUU